rnacentral:rRNA from 1 species
CGCGUAGGUGGUAGUGCAAGUCUGGGGUGGAAUCCCAGGGCUUAACCCUGGAACUGCCUUGGAAACUGUAUUACUUGAGUCAGUGAGGGGAGGGUAGAAUUCCUGGUGUAACGGUGAAAUGCGUAGAUAUCAGGAGGAAGGCCUGUGGCGAAGGCGGCCCUCUGGCGCUGAACUGACACUGAGGCGCGAAAGCGUGGGUAGCAAACAGGAUUAGAUACCCUGGUAGUCCACGCCCUAAACGGUGGGUACUAGGUGUGGGGCUCGUAAGGGUUCUGUGCCGAAGCGAAAGCAUUAAGUACCCCGCCUGGGGAGUACGGCCGCAAGGUUGAA